CUAUAGUCUUGUGUACAGCACCGUCUCUGUAUUCAGUGGUUGACCUUUAACCCCUGACCUCUCUCUAUAGUCUUGUGUACAGCACCGUCUCUGUAUUCAGUGGUUGACCUUUAACCCCUAACCUCUCUCUCUAUAGUCUUGUGUACAGCACCGUCUCUGUAUUCAAUGGUUGACCUUUAACCCCUAACCUCUCUCUCUAUAGUCUUGUGUACAGCACCGUCUCUGUAUUCAGUGGUUGACCUUUAACCCCUAACCUCUCUCUCUAUAGUCUUGUGUACAGCACCGUCUCUGUAUUCAGUGGUUGACCUUUAACCCCUAACCUCUCUCUCUAUAGUCUUGUGUACAGCACCGUCUCUGUAUUCAGUGGUUGACCUUUAACCCCUGACCUCUCUCUAUAGUCUUGUGUACAGCACCGUCUCUGUAUUCAGUGGUUGACCUUUAACCCCUAACCUCUCUCUCUAUAGUCUUGUGUACAGCACCGUCUCUGUAUUCAGUGGUUGACCUUUAACCCCUGAUCUCUCUCUAUAGUCUUGUGUACAGCACCGUCUCUGUAUUCAGUGGUUGACCUUUAACCCCUAACCUCUCUCUCUAUAGUCUUGUGUACAGCACCGUCUCUGUAUUCAGUGGUUGACCUUUAACCCCUGACCUCUCUCUAUAGUCUUGUGUACAGCACCGUCUCUGUAUUCAGUGGUUGACCUUUAACCCCUAACCUCUCUCUCUAUAGUCUUGUGUACAGCACCGUCUCUGUAUUCAGUGGUUGACCUUUAACCCCUAACCUCUCUCUCUAUAGUCUUGUGUACAGCACCGUCUCUGUAUUCAGUGGUUGACCUUUAACCCCUGACCUCUCUCUAUAGUCUUGUGUACAGCACCGUCUCUGUAUUCAGUGGUGGAGGGCAGCCUGAGAGCCAAGUCCUGCAUUGACCUAGUGGUGCGUCACCGAGACGUGUCCCCCCGCCACUGGGGAAGGAGAGAUCGGUUCCGCUUGGAGGUGUCGGGCGGAGGGCUGGAGGCGAAUCGGGAGGUUUGGGCCGAGCUCAGGGGAGGACAGGCCACUGCCCAGAACAGAUCCACUGGCCCCCCGAGACUCCUCCCACCCUCUCUCGCCCCUCUACCUUACUUCACAUUGCCCCAGAAAGUUUGGAGACUGUCCCAGUCUGCAGUGUCGGUGGUGAUGGGUGUGGUGUGUGUUGCUUUCUUAAUGCUCCCCCUCCACUCUGAGCCCAACAACUUGGUUCCUAGCUAUGCCCAUGUGACUGUCACACAGAAAUUGGUGUGCGCCUACGCACUGGGUCUGCUCACCAUGGUGUUUCUACGGUAACCAGAGGAGGAGACGAUGUUUCCAUGGAGAUUCAGACCAAGAUCCCCCCCCUGGCCAUUCCCCAGACCGACAGGGCUGAUAUGGACCGACAGGGCUGAUAUGGACCGACAGGGCCGAUAUGGACCGACAGGGCUGAUAUGGACCGACAGGGCUGAUAUGGACCGACAGGGCUGAUAUGGACCGACAGGGCCGAUAUGUUGUAGGCACCGACAGGGCCGAUAUGUUGUAGGGACCGACAGGGCUGAUAUGGAC